UCCCCGCUAUUAAAACGGCACUGUAUUCUUGGCUGGACAGAUGUUACUAAGCCAUGUUGUAGCGGGGUCAUCUAUAACACUAGUCAAGUAGUCACGCAAUCGUUUUCUUCCUGGUCCUUUAGUAAUAUACUAUCAGGGAAUAUAUAUUAUAGUCCUGGGAGACACAAAUGAAACCGUCGCCAAGAUACCGCGUCACGAAAUCUCAUUUUAUUUAUUAACUAAUCCGUAAGGGUGGAGGAUUCCUUCAGAUUUGUUUUUUCUGUACAUUUCUCGGGUGACGCGACUGAAUGAGGGUAUUUUAUAAUGUUAAUGCAGUAAUGGAUGAUAAUUUUAAGUUCCGCUAUUAUUACGAAUAAAAGUAAGUAAUA